CCUACGGGAGGCAGCAGUGGGGAAUAUUGCACAAUGGGGGAAACCCUGAUGCAGCGACGCCGCGUGAGUGAGGAAGGAUUUCGGUAUGUAAAGCUCUAUCAGCAGGGAAGAAAAUGAAGGUACCUGACCAAGAAGCCCCGGCUAACUACGUGCAAGCAGCCGCGGUCAUACGGAGGGGGCAAGGGUUAUCCGGAUUUACUGGGUGUAAAGGGAGCGUAGACGGCUAAUCAAGUCAGGAGUGAAAACCCCGGGCUCAACCUUGGGACUGCUUUUGAAACUGCCUAACUUGAGUGCAGGAGAGGUGAGCGGAAUUCCUGGUGUAGCGGUGAAAUGCGUAGAUAUUAGGAGGAACACCAGUGGCGAAGGCGACUUACUGGACUGUAACUGACGUUGAGGCUCGAAAGCGUGGGUAGCAAACAGGAUUAGAUACCCGAGUAGUC
rnacentral:rRNA from 1 species